CUUUUAGUUUGCCCCCCCGAAACUAAGUGAGCUACUUCAAAGCAGCUGUAAGAGCUAACCCCUCUCUGUCGCAAUAGAGUGGGACGACUUUUAAGUAGAGGCGACAAACCUACCGAACUUAGAGAUAGCUGGUUAUUUAAGAAAAGAAUUUAAGUUCAGCCCCAAGCCUCUUUUUAUCAAAAAAAUUUCCUCAGACUUGGGAGUUACUCAAAUAAGGCACAGCUUAUUUGAAACAGGACACAACCUAGAAUACUGGGUAAAACAAUUGAAAUUGUGGCAAGUGGGCCUAAAAGCAGCCACCUUCAAAAAAGCGUCAAAGCUUACCAACAACAACUUCCUAAUAACCUCAACAAUUUUUAUCCCACAUAUCCUAUUAAAUUACCCCAUACAACUAUGGGAGCUAUAAUGCUAGAACGAGUAACAAGAAAAAGACUUUCUCCAAAAUGUAAGCUUAAGCCGCAAUGGACCAACCGCCGGCAAUCAACGCCUCUGAGCUAAUUUUAGUAACACUAACAAGAAAACCCU
rnacentral:rRNA from 1 species